rnacentral:misc_RNA from 1 species
CCCCAAACAAUAAUCCAAGUUCUAUUAUUUCCCAACCUUCAAUAAUUUUUCAAUUCCCUCUGAAUUUGAACAUGAUGUGAACAAUGUUGUUGCAUUAAAAAAAUUGCUUGCGCAAAUAACCCGCUGACAAACUAUACUUGCCUUAGGCAUUACAGUGACUUGCUCCUCAAUGACAUACUCCAUCUCCAUCUCCAUGUGCAGAAGUAGGAACAUUCUGAACACACUUUUUACCUUAAAAGGGGAAUGUUCUACCCACCUCAAGAUUGCUAUAAAGUCAAUCUGUGUCUUGGAGAUCAAAUGAUUGAAACAGCGCCUUCACAAGAGAAAAAGGAUUCAUGAAGGAGAAGAAACACCAACUCUCAUGAUGAUCCUAGUCAUCUUCACUCCAAUCAAGGUGACAUUCUCAGCACCAACAAAUUUGGACCCCCUAAACAGUCUAACAAUCUCACCCACCUCUUCUUCUCCACACUCAUCCACAACUAUCACACACACCCCUCCUCUCCUCACCGUCCUNNNNGUCCAUCUCCCCAGCAAACCUCAAUGGAAAAAGUGCCUCCACCAAACGCGCACUGAAAGCCAAAUCAAACAUCCCAUCGAAAAAAGGCAAAUUAUUGGGGUCAGC